rnacentral:pre_miRNA from 1 species
CAUAUACUCCUUCCAUCCGCAAAUACUUUUCGGAAGAAUGGAUAGAUGUAUUUUAGUUCUAGAUACAUCCAAUUUUAUACAUUUCUCCGACAAGUAUUUCUGGAUAAAGGGAGUAGAUG